rnacentral:rRNA from 1 species
GGAGGAUCCAAGCGUUAUCCGGAAUCAUUGGGUUUAAAGGGUCCGUAGGCGGUUUAGUAAGUCAGUGGUGAAAGCCCAUCGCUCAACGGUGGAACGGCCAUUGAUACUGCUAGACUUGAAUUAUUAGGAAGUAACUAGAAUAUGUAGUGUAGCGGUGAAAUGCUUAGAGAUUACAUGGAAUACCAAUUGCGAAGGCAGGUUACUACUAAUUGAUUGACGCUGAUGGACGAAAGCGUGGGUAGCGAACAGGAUUAGAUACCCUGGUAGUCCACGCCGUAAACGAUGGAUACUAGCUGUUGGGGGCAACUUCAGUGGCUAAGCGAAAGUGAUAAGUAUCCCACCUGGGGAGUACGAACGCAAGUUG